rnacentral:rRNA from 1 species
CUCGGUCGUAAACUCUGUUGUAGGGAGACAGUGCUAGUGAUAGCUGCACUGACGUACUACAGAAAGCACGCUACUACGUGCAGCAGCGCGGUAAUACGUAGGUGGCAGCGUAUCCGGAAUUAUUGGGCGGUAAAGCGCGCGCAGGUGGUUUCUAAGUUUGAUGUUGAAAGCCCACGGCUCAACCGUGGGAGGGUCAUUGGAAACUGGGAGACUUGAGUGCAGGAGAGAAAGUGGAAUUUCAUGGGAGCGGUGAAAUGCGAGGAUAAGGAGGACCACAGUGGGCGAAGGCGCUUUUUUGUUCGUUACUGACCAUGAGGCGGGAAAGCGUGGGGAGCCAACCGGAUUAGAUUCCCUGGUUGUUCCCGCCGUUAACGGUGAAUGCUAAGUGGUAGAGGGUUUUCGCCCUUUAGUGCUGAAGUUAACGCCUUAAGCCAUCCGCCUGGGGAGUACGGCCGCAAGGGUGGAACUCAAAGGAAUUGACGGGGGGCCGCACCAACGGUGGAGCAUGUGGGUUUAUUUGGAGCAACGGGGAGGACCUUACCAAGUUCUGACAUCCUUUGACAACCCCAAAAAUAGGGGUUUUCCUUUGGGAAGAGAAUGACCGGUGGUGCAUGGUUGUUGUCAACUUGGGUUCUGAGAUGGUGGGUUAAAUUCCGCAACGAGCGCCACCCCUGAUUUUAGUUGCCAUCCAUUAAUUGGGCCCUUUAAGGUGGCCGCCGGGGGCCAACCGGAGGAAGGGGGGGAAGGCGUCAAAUUAUCCUGCCCCUUAUGACCUGGGGUACCCCCCUGGUUCCAAGGGCGGUACAAAGAAGUGCAAGGCCCGGAGGGGGAAGUUAUUUUAUAAAACCGUUUUCAAUUUGGAUUGUUGGGUGCCACUUGCCUACCAGGAAGCGGGAUUGGUUGUUAUCGGGGAUCAACCAGCCGCGGGGAAUUCGUUUCCGGGCCUUGGACCCCCCCCCCGUCCCCCCCCGAGAAUUUGUAACCCCCGAAGUCGGUGGGGUUACCUUUUGGAGCCAGCCGCCUAAUAUGGG